rnacentral:rRNA from 1 species
CCUACGGGAGGCAGCAGUAGGGAAUCUUCCACAAUGGGCGCAAGCCUGAUGGAGCAACACCGCGUGAGUGAAGAAGGGUUUCUGCUCGGAAAGCUCUGUUUUUGGAGAAGUACGUGGGGGAGAGUAACUGUUUUCGCAGGUACGUUAUCCAACCAGAAAGUCACGGCUAACGACGGGCCAGCAGCAGCGGUAAUACGUAGGUGGCUAGCAUUAUCCGGAUUUAUUGGGCGUAAAGGGAGCGGAGGUGGUUGCUUAGGUCUGAUGUGAAAGCCUUCGGCUUAACCGAAGAAGUGCAUCGGAAACCGGGAGACUUGAGUGCAGAAGAGGAAGGUGGAACUCGAUGUGUAGCGGUGGAAUGCGUAGAUAUAUGGAAGAACACCAGUGGCGAAGGCAGCUGUCUAGUCUGCGACUGACGCUGAGGCUCGAAAGCAUGGGUAGCAAACAGGAUUAGAUACCCCUGUAGUC